GCAUAUCAAUAAGCGGAGGAAAAGAAACCAACAGGGAUUGCCCCAGUAACGGCGAGUGAAGCGGCAACAGCUCAAAUUUGAAAUCUGGCCCCUCGGGCCCGAGUUGUAAUUUGUAGAGGAUGCUUUUGGCAAGGUGCCGCCCGAGUUCCCUGGAACGGGACGCCGCAGAGGGUGAGAGCCCCGUCUGGCUGGCCACCGAGCCUCUGUAAAGCUCCUUCGACGAGUCGAGUAGUUUGGGAAUGCUGCUCAAAAUGGGAGGUAUAUGUCUUCUAAAGCUAAAUAUUGGCCAGAGACCGAUAGCGCACAAGUAGAGUGAUCGAAAGAUGAAAAGCACUUUGAAAAGAGGGUUAAACAGUACGUGAAAUUGUUGAAAGGGAAGCGCUCAUGACCAGACUUGGGCUUGGCGAAUCAUCCGGCGUUCUCGCCGGUGCACUUCGCCUCGCCCAGGCCAGCAUCAGUUCGCGCCGGGGGACAAAAGCUUCGGGAAUGUGGCUCCUCCGGGAGUGUUAUAGCCCGUUGCAUAAUACCCUGGGGCGGACUGAGGUUCGCGCAUCUGCAAGGAUGCUGGCGUAAUGGUCAUCAGCGACCCGUCUUGAAACACGGACCAAGGAGUCGUCUUCGUAUGCGAGUGUUCGGGUGUCAAACCCCUACGCGUAAUGAAAGUGAACGCAGGUGAGAGCUUCGGCGCAUCAUCGACCGAUCCUGAUGUUCUCGGAUGGAUUUGAGUAAGAGCAUACGGGGCCGGACCCGAAAGAAGGUGAACUAUGCCUGUAUAGGGUGAAGCCAGAGGAAACUCUGGUGGAGGCUCGCAGCGGUUCUGACGUGCAAAUCGAUCGUCAAAUAUGGGCAUGGGGGCGAAAGACUAAUCG
rnacentral:rRNA from 1 species